GACGAACCGUCCUAACGUUGUUCGGAAUCACUGGGCUUAAAGGGCGCGUAGGCGGGCCAGCCAGUCUGUGGUGAAAGCCUCCAGCUUAACUGGAGAAGUGCCGUGGAUACUGCUGGCCUCGAGGAGGAUAGGGGCAUCUGGAACGGUCGGUGGAGCGGUGAAAUGCGUUGAUAUCGACCGGAACUCCGGUGGCGAAGGCGAGGUGCUGGGUCCUUUCUGACGCUGAUGCGCGAAAGCCAGGGGAGCAAACGGG
rnacentral:rRNA from 1 species